rnacentral:rRNA from 1 species
ACGGGUGAGUAAUGCCUAGGAAUCUGCCUGGUAGUGGGGGACAACGUUUCGAAAGGAACGCUAAUACCGCAUACGUCCUACGGGAAAAAGCAGGGGACCUUCGGGCCUUGCGCUAUCAGAUGAGCCUAGGUCGGAUUAGCUAGUUGGUGAGGUAAUGGCUCACCAAGGCGACGAUCCGUAACUGGUCUGAGAGGAUGAUCAGUCACACUGGAACUGAGACACGGUCCAGACUCCUACGGGAGGCAGCAGUGGGGAAUAUUGGACAAUGGGCGAAAGCCUGAUCCAGCCAUGCCGCGUGUGUGAAGAAGGUCUUCGGAUUGUAAAGCACUUUAAGUUGGGAGGAAGGGUUGUAGAUUAAUACUCUGCAAUUUUGACGUUACCGACAGAAUAAGCACCGGCUAACUCUGUGCCAGCAGCCGCGGUAAUACAGAGGGUGCAAGCGUUAAUCGGAAUUACUGGGCGUAAAGCGCGCGUAGGUGGUUUGUUAAGUUGGAUGUGAAAUCCCCGGGCUCAACCUGGGAACUGCAUCCAAAACUGGCAAGCUAGAGUAUGGUAGAGGGUGGUGGAAUUUCCUGUGUAGCGG